AACGCAGCGGCACCGCAAGGUGACAGUUGUUAAAGGAGCAAUCCGCUUGAGGAGGAGCUUGCGGCAGAUUAGCUAGUCGGUAGGUAAUGGCUUACCAAGGCUACGAUCUGUAUCCGGUCUAAGAGGACGGUCGGACACACUGACACUGAAUAACGGGUCAGACUCCUACGGGAGGCAGCAGGUCGGGAAUUUUGGGCAAUGGGCGAAAGCCUGACCCAGCAACGCCGCGUGAAGGAUGAAGUAUUUCGGUAUGUAAACUUCGAAAGAAUAGGAAGAAUAAAUGACGGUACUAUUUAUAAGCUCCGGCUAACUACGUG
rnacentral:rRNA from 1 species